rnacentral:rRNA from 1 species
UACGGAAGGCAGCAGUGGGGAAUAUUGCACAAUGGGCGCAAGCCUGAUGCAGCCAUGCCGCGUGUAUGAAGAAGGCCUUCGGGUUGUAAAGUACUUUCAGCGGGGAGGAAGGCGAUGCGGUUAAUAACCGCGUCGAUUGACGUUACCCGCAGAAGAAGCACCGGCUAACUCCGUGCCAGCAGCCGCGGUAAUACGGAGGGUGCAAGCGUUAAUCGGAAUUACUGGGCGUAAAGCGCACGCAGGCGGUCUGUUAAGUCAGAUGUGAAAUCCCCGGGCUUAACCUGGGAACUGCAUUUUGAAACUGGCAGGCUUGAGUCUUGUAGAGGGGGUAGAAUUCCAGGUGUAGCGGUGAAAUGCGUAGAGAUCUGGAGGAAUCCGGUGGCGAAGGCGGCCCCUGGGACAAAGACUGACGCUCAGGUGCGAAAGCGUGGGGAGCAAACAGGAUUAGAUACC